CAAAGUGAUUGCUCGAGCUUUAUGGUCUAAAGAAGACUGGCACUUAUUAUUGUUGUGGCUAUCAUGCUCUUUUUGGCAUUUCUUGGAUUUUUAUUUUCCAAAUGAUUGGGAUGCAACCUCUGGUAUACUUGUAAGUGAUUUAAACAUUAAGCCCUUUUCAUGCUCAAUUAUUAAUAACGGUCAUUGAAAAUUUCGGAAUCAGUUCUCUUUUACUUGAUUAGCUUCUAUCCUUAUUUGGGGGCCUAAAAGAUGUGUAUACUGUGUGCAAUGAAGACAUUUUGUGCAUGGAUCUGUUACUAGUUGACUUGUUAAUGCGAUGAUUGCCUGCUCUUAUUUUUGCUAGUCUUGACUUGUUAAUUUUUAUGAAAAUGUUGACUUGCUAUAGAGGUUUGUGAUUAAUGGGGUUUCCCAAACUUCUGAUAUAUUAUAUAAUAUAUAAUGGUAAAGAAUGUUAACAAACUCCUGAUUCAGUUUGUUAAUAAUUGCUUAUUAAAAAACUAAAUCUUGUACUGCGCAUUUGUGCCUCAUCUGAUACUCAAGUAAGAUUGCCAAGUUAAAAGCAUGUUUCCUUUGAUUUUUCCUGUUUAGAAUUUAAGUGUUUUUCCAGCUCCGUCCUAUUAAUUAAAUAUGUAGUAGGUGCCACUUCGUA